rnacentral:rRNA from 1 species
GACGAACGCUGGCGGCGUGCCUAAUACAUGCAAGUCGAACGCACGAAGUUGAAGAGCUUGCUCUUUAACCAAGUGGGUGGCGGACGGGUGAGUAACACGUGGGUAACCUACCC